rnacentral:rRNA from 1 species
AAAACGACUCUCGGCAACGGAUAUCUAGGCUCUCGCAUCGAUGAAGAACGUAGCGAAAUGCGAUACUUGGUGUGAAUUGCAGAAUCCCGCGAAUCAUCGAGUUUUUGAACGCAAGUUGCGCCCGAAGCCAUUCGGCCGAGGGCACGUCUGCCUGGGUGUCACGU